ACGCGAAAGUCCCCUUCGGGGGACGAGUAGAGUGGCGUCCGGGUGAGUAACACGUGAGUAAUUUGCCUUCGGGUGGGGAAUAACAGCCGGAAACGGCUGCUAAUACCGCAUGAUGCAGCGGCACCUCAUGGUGACAGUUGUUAAAGAGGGGGAUCCUUCGGGACCUCUCGCCUGAAGAGAAGCUCGCGGCAGAUUAGCUAGUUGGUAGGGUAACGGCCUACCAAGGCAACGAUCUGUAGCCGGCCUGAGAGGGCGGUCGGCCACACUGACACUGACACACGGGUCAGACUCCUACGGGAGGCAGCAGUCGGGAAUCUUGGGCAAUGGGCGAGAGCCUGACCCAGCAACGCCGCGUGAAGGAUGAAGUUUUUCGGAAUGUAAACUUCACAAGAAUGGGAAGAAUAAGGCGGGGUUAAUACCCCCGUCGAUGACGGUACCAUUUGUAAGCUCCGGCUAACUCCGUGCCAGCAGCCGCGGUAAUACGGGGGGAGCAAGCGUUG
rnacentral:rRNA from 1 species